rnacentral:hammerhead_ribozyme from 1 species
AUCCAGCUGACGAGUCCAAAAUAGGACGAAAUGUACGUUAAACUGGAU